CGCGUAGGCGGCCUGUUAAGUCGAACGUGAAAUCCCUGGGCUCAACCCAGGAACUGCGUCCGAUACUGGCUGGCUUGAAUCCGGGAGAGGGAUGCGGAAUUCCAGGUGUAGCGGUGAAAUGCGUAGAUAUCUGGAGGAACACCGGUGGCGAAGGCGGCAUCCUGGACCGGUAUUGACGCUGAGGCGCGAAAGCCAGGGGAGCAAACG
rnacentral:rRNA from 1 species